GACGAACGCUGGCGGCGUGCUUAACACAUGCAAGUCGAACGGAAAGGCCCUGCUUUUGUGGGGUGCUCGAGUGGCGAACGGGUGAGUAACACGUGAGUAACCUGCCCUUGACUUUGGGAUAACUUCAGGAAACUGGGGCUAAUACCGGAUAGGAGCUCCUGCUGCAUGGUGGGGGUUGGAAAGUUUCGGCGGUUGGGGAUGGACUCGCGGCUUAUCAGCUUGUUGGUGGGGUAGUGGCUUACCAAGGCUUUGACGGGUAGCCGGCCUGGGAGGGUGACCGGCCACAUGGGGACUGAGAUACGGCCCAGACUCCUACGGGAGGCAGCAGGGGGGAAUAUGGCACAAUGGGCGGAAGCCUGAGGCAGCAACGCCGCGUGCGGGAUGACGGCCUUCUGGUUGUAAACCGCUGUCGCCUGUGACGAAGCGUGAGUGACGGUAAUGGGUAAAGAAGCACCGGCUAACUACGUG
rnacentral:rRNA from 1 species